AUUGAACGCUGGCGGCAGGCCUAACACAUGCAAGUCGAACGGUAACAGGAAGAAGCUUGCUUCUUUGCUGACGAGUGGCGGACGGGUGAGUAAUGUCUGGGAAACUGCCUGAUGGAGGGGGAUAACUACUGGAAACGGUAGCUAAUACCGCAUAACGUCGCAAGACCAAAGAGGGGGACCUUCGGGCCUCUUGCCAUCGGAUGUGCCCAGAUGGGAUUAGCUAGUAGGUGGGGUAACGGCUCACCUAGGCAACGAUCCCUAGCUGGUCUGAGAGGAUGACCAGCCACACUGGAACUGAGACGCGGUCCAGACUCCUACGGGAGGCAGCAGUGGGGAAUAUUGCACAAUGGGCGCAAGCCUGAUGCAGCCAUGCCGCGUGUAUGAAGAAGGCCUUCGGGUUGUAAAGUACUUUCAGCGGGGAGGAAGGGAGUAAAGUUAAUACCUUUGCUCAUUGACGUUACCCGCAGAAGAAGCACCGGCUAACUCCGUG
rnacentral:rRNA from 1 species